rnacentral:rRNA from 1 species
UACGGAGGGGGCUAGCGUUGUUCGGAAUUACUGGGCGUAAAGCGCACGUAGGCGGCUUUGUAAGUUAGAGGUGAAAGCCCAGGGCUUAACCCUGGAAUUGCCUUUAAUACUGGCGGCCUUGAGUAUGGCAGAGGUGUGUGGAACUCCGAGUGUAGAGGUGAAAUUCGUAGAUAUUCGGAAGAACACCAGUGGCGAAGGCGACACACUGGGCCAUUACUGACGCUGAGGCGCGAAAGCGUGGGGAGCAAACAGG